AUGCUGUCACUGACUCUUUGUGUUUUCUCUCUACUGUUUCUAUCCAUUCUAACAGGUGUCAGCUGUCAAAAACUCACUCCAGUGAAGACAGAAGAGUCCAGUUUAGAAGGCAGCACUGUUACUCUGUCCUACAAAUACUCCAAAGAAGCAGCUGGUAGUGAUGAGUUUUACUGGUAUCGACAAUAUCCAGGAAACCCACCAGAGUUCCUCAUCUUUCACUUGGGGACAAAGAAUGAAACAAAGUCUGGACUGUCUGUUAGCGUGAGGAAGGAUAAAACCCAUCUGGAUCUGCAGAUCUCCUCUGCUGCAGUGACAGACUCUGCUGUGUACUACUGUGCUGUGAGGCCCACAGUG